ACCAGUUCCCACAUGGUCCAUGUCCAAAAACGUAUGUCUUAUUCUGCUUCCUGAGUUCAUCACCUCACCAUCAGCAGAGUUAUAAAAGUCCAGCAGCAAGACAAAAGUCAAGAUGACUGUCCGUGAGUCACUCUGUGAUUUUGUUAGUGUGAGUACUCCUGCUCUCAGGUGUAACCAAUCAACAAUUUAGGAUCUAUCAACAAGUACUGGAACUUCCCUUGAAACGGUCAAAAAAAAGUCCAUGUUGCUUUCAGCAUUGCCUAGCUCAUCUAAUUCUUCUACAAAGGCUCC